rnacentral:rRNA from 1 species
GCACAAGCGGAGGAGCAUGUGGUUUAAUUCGAUGAUACGCGAGGAACCUUACCUGGGCUCGAACGUAAGAUGACUGUAGGUGAAAGCUUACAUCUCUUCGGAGCAUUUUACGAGGUGCUGCAUGGUUGUCGUCAGCUCGUGCCGUGAGGUGUCGGGUUAAGUCCCAUAACGAGCGCAACCCCUACCUUUAGUUGCCAUCAGGUAAUGCUGGGGACUCUAAAGGAACUGCCUACGCAAGUAGUGAGGAAGGCGGGGAUGACGUCAAAUCAGCACGGCCCUUACGUCCAGGGCUACACACGUGCUACAAUGGCCGAUACAGAGGGCAGCUACCUGGUGACAGGAUGCAAAUCUCCAAAGUCGGUCUCAGUUCGGAUCGGAGUCUGCAACCCGACUCCGUGAAGUUGGAUUCGCUAGUAAUCGCGCAUCAGCCAUGGCGCGGUGAAUACGUUCCCGGGCCUU